UUCCGGUUGAUCCCGCCGGACCCGACUGCUAUUUGGGUGAGGAUAAGCCAUGCGAGUUGUAUGGGAUACCUAAAUUUCCCAUGGCAAACUGCUUAGUAACACAUGAUCAACUUACCCUAUGGAGAAAAAUAACCUCGGGAAACUGAGGAUAAUGUUUCAUAGGUGAAUAGGCUUGGAAAAGUUUUUCAUCGAAAAGGAUAAGAAAAAUGGUUUUUAUCUGCUAUAGGAUAGGAUCGUGGUCGAUUAUGGUUGUUGGUGAGGUAACGGCUCACCAAGCCGACAAUCGAUAGGGGCCGUGAGAGCGGGAGCCCCAAGAUGGGUACUGAGACAGCGACCCAGGCCUUACGAGGCGCAGCAGGCGCGGAACCUCCGCAAUACACGAAAGUGUGACGGGGUUACCCAAAGUGUUCUUUUAAGAACUGUGGUAGGUGAGUAAUAUCCCCUACUAGAAAGGAGAGGGCAAGGCUGGUGCCAGCCGCCGCGGUAAAACCAGCUCUUCAAGUGGUCGGGAUAAUUAUUGGGUUUAAAGUGUCCGUAGCCGGUUUAGUAAGUUCCUGGUAAAAUCGGGUAGCUUAACUAUCCGCAUGCUAGGAAUACUGCUAUACUAGAGGGCGGGAGAGGUCUGAGGUACUACAGGGGUAGGGGUGAAAUCUUAUAAUCCUUGUAGGACCACCAGUGGCGAAGGCGUCAGACUGGAACGCGCCUGACGGUGAGGGACGAAAGCCAGGGGAGCGAACCGGAUUAGAUACGUUGGUGUUAUUUGAAUGUAAUGUAAGAAUUACUAACACAAUGCUAAAAACCCGGGUAGUCCUGGCCGUAAACGAUGCAUACUAGGUGAUGAUACGGCCAUGAGCCGUGUCAGUGCCGUAGGGAAACCGUUAAGUGUGCCGCCUGGGAAGUACGGUCGCAAGGCUAAAACUUAAAGGAAUUGGCGGGGGAGCACCACAAGGGGUGAAGCCUGCGGUUCAAUUGGAGUCAACGCCGGGAAUCACUAGUGCGGCCGCUGCAGUCGACCAUUAUGGGAGAGCUCCCAACGCGUUGGAUGCAAUAGCUUGAGUAUUUCUUAUAGUGUCACUAAUAGCUU
rnacentral:rRNA from 1 species